GCUUUCGGUUUUGCUUGUAGUCGUUGUCUUUAGCUUAUGUAGUGGUCGGCCUUCCCUUCCUACACGCACGCGCCCGCCAGAAUGCCUCCUUGGUUCUGCACGAAGCCAAGCCAAUACAUACGAUAGGCGAAGUCAAGACUCCCAUUUCAUAGCGCCUGGGGAACGCAAGUUUGAUCGAGGAUUGGAGAGAGAGUAUAUAGAGUCAAA